rnacentral:rRNA from 1 species
CGACUACAGUCAGAGUUUGAUCCUGGCUCAGGAUGAACGCUAGCGGCAGGCUUAACACAUGCAAGUCGAGGGGCAGCGUGAUGAAACAGCAAUGUGGAUUUGAUGGCGACCGGCGCACGGGUGCGUAACGCGUAUGCAACCUACCCAUAACAGGGGGAUAACACUGAGAAAUUGGUACUAAUACCCCAUAACACUUUGGAAGGCAUCUUCUGAAGUUGAAAGUUCAGGCGGUUAUGGAUGGGCAUGCGUUGUAUUAGCUAGAUGGUGAGGUAACGGCUCACCAUGGCUACGAUACAUAGGGGGACUGAGAGGUUAACCCCCCACACUGGUACUGAGACACGGACCAG